CAAAAUGUGAUGCAUUUUCCCGUGCUAAUUUCAAACCGCUAUGCUACUACAGCUAGCUAAACAUGGCUGACAGGGUUGGGGUGGGUUGUAACACAUCUUUAAAAAGUGUUACAACCAUCCCCUUACAUACACCUAAGAACAUUUUCAUUUUAAUAAUUUUACAGAAUGCCUAGGCAGUGGAUACGAAAGACUGAUAGAGGUGUGCCUGCAGAUGUUUUAAAAAAGGCAUCUGAUGAGGUCACAAAGAAGAGCAAGUCAGUCAGAUCGGUUGCAAAGGCGCAUGGCAUCUGCCAUGUAACACUGAGCAGAUACUGCAAAUCACUGCAGAAGCUGAGAGAACAGGGGUCCAGUGAUCUUCCCAGUGUUGGUUAUUGGAGUAGCAACAAAGUCUUCUCUGAGGUGCAGGAGGAAGUGUUGGCUGACUAUUUGACUCAGGCAGCAGACCUGUAUUACGGACUGACUCCACGUGAGGUCAGAAAGUUUGCAUAUCAGCUGGCAGUAGCAUAUUACAUCAAACACCCACAAACAUGGUAUGAGAAGCAGAUGGCAGGGCCUGACUGGUUCACAUUAUUUAUGAAGCGGAACCCUAGCCUGUCAAUAAGGAGUCCUGAGGCAACCAGCCUUACACGGGCCACAAGUUUUAACCGCCAAAAUGUGGAACGUUUCUUCAACAGCCUUGGACAGGUCAUUGAGAGAUACAACUUCGACGGGAGCGAUAUAUGGAAUGUAGAUGAAACUGGUGUAACAACAGUCCAAUCACCAGACCGUGUUGUUGCUCGUCGUGGUGUCAAGCAGGUGGGUGCGAUGACAUCAGGUGAGAGAGGUGUGCUCGUGUCAGUAGCAUGCGCUGUGCAAGCGCUGGGAAAUGCAAUUCCUCCCUUCUUUGUAUUCCCCCGUAAACGUUACAARGAACUCUUYAUUCAGAGUGGGCCAACAGGGAGUGCAGGAAGUGGUAACGYCUCAGGAUGGAUGCAAGAGGAAGACUUCCUCUUAUUCCUUGCUCAUUUUGCAAAACACACAAAGGUCAGCCCAGAGAAAAAGGUUUUACUUUUGCUGGAUAAUCACUGUUCACAUAUAUCUGUUAAAGCUAUUGAUUUCUGCAAAGAAAAGGGAAUAGUGCUACUUACCUUCCCCCCCCCACUGUAGCCAUAAACUUCAGCCACUGGAUCGCAGUGUCUACGGCCCAUUUAAGAAAAUGGUGAACGCCGCAAGUGAUGCAUGGAUGAAGAUGAAUCCUGCCAAGACGAUGACUAUAUAUGAUAUUCCAAGUAUUGUGAAGACUGCUCUGCCUGCAGCUGCAACACCGAAAAACAUUCAAGCCGGUUUCCAAUCCACAGGUACAUCACUGACAUCUGGAGCUUUCCAGCCACAGUCUCCACCAACUCAUCUGGGGACAGCCUCCUCUCCUCCAACUCACCUGGGGAUUGCCUCCUCUCCUCACCUGGGGAUUGCCUCCUCUCCUCACCUGGGGACAGCCUCCUCUCCUCCAACUCAUCUGGGGACAGCCUCCUCUCCUCACCUGGGGACAGCCUCCUCUCCUCCAACUCACCUGGAGACUACUACUUCUGGUUCCUCUGCAGUUAUUGAUGUGA